CUGUGACGUUACUGACAGAAGAAGCACCGGCUAACUCCGUGCCAGCAGCCGCGGUAAUACGGAGGGUGCGAGCGUUAAUCGGAAUUACUGGGCGUAAAGCGUACGCAGGCGGUUUGUUAAGCGAGAUGUGAAAGCCCCGGGCUCAACCUGGGAACUGCAUUUCGAACUGGCAAACUAGAGUGUGAUAGAGGGUGGUAGAAUUUCAGGUGUAGCGGUGAAAUGCGUAGAGAUCUGAAGGAAUACCGAUGGCGAAGGCAGCCACCUGGGUCAACACUGACGCUCAUGUACGAAAGCGUGGGGAGCAAACAGGAUUAGAUACCCUGGUAGUCCACGCCGUAAACGAUGUCUACUAGAAGCUCGGAACCUCGGUUCUGUUUUUCAAAGCUAACGCAUUAAGUAGACCGCCUGGGGAGUACGGCCGCAAGGUUAAAACUCAAAUGAAUUGACGGGGGCCCGCACAAGCGGUGGAGCAUGUGGUUUAAUUCGAUGCAACGCGAAGAACCUUACCUACACUUGACAUACAGAGAACUUAC
rnacentral:rRNA from 1 species